rnacentral:rRNA from 1 species
GAUGAACGCUGGCGGCGUGCCUAAUACAUGCAAGUCGAGCGAACAGAUGAGGAGCUUGCUCCUCUGACGUUAGCGGCGGACGGGUGAGUAACACGUGGAUAACCUACCUAUAAGACUGGGAUAACUUCGGGAAACCGGAGCUAAUACCGGAUAAUAUAUUGAACCGCAUGGUUCAAUAGUGAAAGACGGUUUUGCUGUCACUUAUAGAUGGAUCCGCGCCGCAUUAGCUAGUUGGUAAGGUAACGGCUUACCAAGGCGACGAUGCGUAGCCGACCUGAGAGGGUGAUCAGCCACACUGGAACUGAGACACGGUCCAGACUCCUACGGGAGGCAGCAGUAGGGAAUCUUCCGCAAUGGGCGAAAGCCUGACGGAGCAACGCCGCGUGAGUGAUGAAGGUCUUCGGAUCGUAAAACUCUGUUAGUAGGGAAGAACAAAUGUGUAAGUAACUAUGCACGUCUUGACGGUACCUAAACAGAAAGCCACGGCUAACUACGUG